rnacentral:lncRNA from 1 species
CUUACUGAGAGCAAGGGCUAGGAGGGAUAUUUAUGGGCACAGAGAGAAGGUCUGAGGAAAUGUGAGAAGCCAGUGAUCAGGGGAUAAGUAACAUCUACAGGAAUUUUGACAAGUAAACCCAUAAAGAUUGAAAUGAAAGUCGUGACACCAUAAAUUCCAAGUAGUGCCCAUCUGCGGGGUAGCAAGAUGAGUCUGGCUCUGCUGAGCAGUCUUGGGGUGAAGGAAAGAACUGGCCCAAUGUGAGUGACCUCCAGUGACCCUGACUUGGUAGGAGUACUGAGACUGGAUGGACUGAAUGGCCAUUCCUGACCACAGGCCCAGGCCCUGGGAGGUUUUCGGGAAGCCUUGCAAUCAGACAGGUACCUGU